UCCCCAAUGUCUCAGCAGUAAAAGAAUCUGCCUGCAAUGCAAGAGAGACAGGAGACUCAGGUUUGAUUCCUGGUUUGGGAA
rnacentral:tRNA from 1 species